AUUGAACGCUGGCGGCAUGCCUAACACAUGCAAGUCGAACGGCAGCACGGCAGUAGCAAUACUGUGGGUGGCGAGUGGCGGACGGGUGAGGAAUACGUCGGAAUCUGCCCAGUCGUGGGGGAUAACUAGCCGAAAGGUUAGCUAAUACCGCAUACGACCGAGAGGUGAAAGCGGGGGACCGCAAGGCCUCGCGCGAUUGGAUGAGCCGACGUCGGAUUAGCUAGUUGGAGGGGUAAAGGCCCACCAAGGCGACGAUCCGUAGCUGGUCUGAGAGGAUGAUCAGCCACACUGGAACUGAGACACGGUCCAGACUCUUACGGGAGGCAGCAGUGGGGAAUAUUGGACAAUGGGCGCAAGCCUGAUCCAGCAAUGCCGCGUGUGUGAAGAAGGCC
rnacentral:rRNA from 1 species